UAGCUCAGUAAUUUUUCCAUCGACAAAGCUA
rnacentral:piRNA from 1 species